rnacentral:lncRNA from 1 species
GAUUUCAAAGAAAAUGAGUUUUAUGUGCAAAGUGUUCUUGGGAUCUUUUGGUGAGAGAUGUGAGUUGGGUUUGACAUUAUGAAGCGAUUGUGUAACUUGUAUGUUUGGAAAAAGGGUAGAACAAUGGAGAUUGAGCAUUGUAUGCAUGAGUUGGUCCAUUUCUUAGAUAUAUUAUGUGCAAAGUCAAGGCUACUUGUUUUGAGAGUAAACCACUUUAAAAGAUCAUGGAU